GCAGCCUGGUGUCACAAGGAGGUGUGGGAAGUGGGGGACGAAAUAACUAAGGAAAUAGUGAACCUCUAUUUACAAAGGUUUCAAGGUAGCAUUUAAAUCAGGAUGAGACCAAUCAAGACAGUAGCAGUGCCAUUUAGGCAAGGUGAUCUGAUUCUGCACUCAAGAGAGCUGGGGAUGAGGUCAGUCAUAGGAAGAACAAUUGAGUGAAACUGAAGGAAGAGGCAAAAGUGACUUAAUGAUGAUAACAGUGCCUGCUCUACUCUGCUUCUGCAGAAGACUCACUUACUGGACAUUCUGGAGCAUUCAUACAGAAUAGUGAACCCCUCCCCGAUAUCUUCCAUAUCUUCCCUUGCUAGGCAUAACAGAGGAUGAAGCACCACUACGGUCUUGAGAGCCUCCUAAAACACAAGUCAAUUUGAUUAGAAUGAAAAAAAAUCCUCUUUUGCAUGUCCUCCAAGGACCCUCCCUAAUUCCAGUCCACAACAUUAGAGGCUCUGGACCUUCAGAUAAAUUGUUGGAAGGGAUGGAGAAGUACUCCAACCAUGCCAUGGGUUCUCGAAUGGGGCUGCCAAGUGUACCCUCUGUGCCCUAGACCAGGAACUUCCUGGAGUCACAUUGUCCAGUGGUUAGAUACAAGAUCUUAAGCAACCAAAAGGCAAGGAAUCAGUUACCUGGAAAUGGAGGCAACUUUAUAAUCAUUUUCACAACCUGUAGAAUGGUAUCCAAACUGGCCAUUCCCUAGGCCUUCUAGAGCUCCACUUGUGUGGCCUACGUAAGUCACUUAGCCUCUCUGAGAUUUAGUUUCCUCAUCUGUAAAAUGGGGAUGGCAGUAACAGACUUCUAAAGGUUUGUUGGGUGGCUUCAAUGGGAUGAUAAUAUAGAAAUUACCUGGCACAGUGAUUGGCCAAUCUAAUAAUUCAAUACUUAUUUUUAAAAAUUAAUUUUGUAAAAAGUGAAGAUAAAGAAAACCCUUCCAUUUCUGUAGAAAUGCUAGUGGAAAUGUAAAGGAAAGAAGAGAGAGAGAAAAAAUAGAGGAGAAGUAGAAUCAAUAGGACUGAAGAGAGGGGAUGAAAGAAAUGGAAUCUUCAGGAAUUAGAAUGUUAAAGCCUGGCCUAUUAUGGAAAUUACUUUAUCAGUGAUCAAAAUAAAGAUGUCAGAAGGGAAAGACUUGUCUCUGCAGUGAAGCUGUAAGAUCUUGAAGGCAAGAAAUGUGCUCCCUUGUGCUCACUGCAUUGAGCAUAGGUCAAACAUUUUAGUUCUAAAAAACAAAAUAUUUGCUGCAUAAAUAAUGAAUAAUGAAUAUGUGCUGCAUAAAUCAUUGAAGAGUGGAUGAACAAGUGGGAGAAAGGGAAAAGGAGAAAGAAAAAGAGAUGGGAGAGAAAGGGAAGGAAAGAGAGAGAACAAACCAUAAUGUGACGCAGGUACUGUCUCCUGGAGCUGGGAAAGCAGCUCCUCCACAUGGAGGAGGCCACCACUGUGGCGUCUUCCACCCCUUUGGUCUCUUCUCAAGCAAGAUGGGAUUCUGAACCUUGAGGCUACCUGCAUAUUAUCAACCAGAAUCCUUUACGAGUAGCCAGCACUGUUCUUGAGCUUCUUCUGUGCUCCUUCAUAGCAUUUCCCAAGGUCUGAGCUCUGAGAAACAACCAGAGAGCUAGAAGUGUGCCUAAAGAAAUGCGGCCUUCACUGGCUUUGCUGGUUACAGGUACUCAGACACGACCAGCCCUGAAGCUUUUGUGCCUGCGCUGCUCCAGACUUAGCUUCCACAGGAAGCCCGUCCGUUCCCAUGGCAUUAGCCGACUUCCACUCUACUCUCACUGUCACAAUUCUUCCACUGAAUGUUUAUGCAUUCCAGCAUCUCGAGAACUUCAGGACCGAGAUAGAUGGUAUCUUAAUAUGCGUUUGAACAUGUGCACUUAAUGUGCUUGGUUAAUUGGAGUAAUUAGUAGUCUUUUCAUUCCAAGGCCGUUGCUGAAAUUAAAACGGGGCUGUUAUUUCUUUUAAUGGACUAACUGAAGAAUUAUUAUUUUGAAAGUGAAUCAAGACUGAAGGAUGCGAAGUUCUGUGCUCCAAAAGAGGAGGAAGGGACUGGAAUUCUAAGGAUCUGAACAUCUUUGGGGAAAGUUCCCAGCCUCAUUUACUCCCUCCAGAUAUCACAAUACCCAGGGUGAUAUAAUUUAUUACCCAACCCAGGACACUUUUGAGAAUAAAAUGGGGCCUGUUUACUGAUUUCAUCGGGAUAACUGUCCUAAACAGAGUGUUCCAGCAAACCGGAGUAUGAGCACUCUACCAACACUUCACGUGGGUAUAGCUGUAUACACAGGGGACUAGCCAUUUGAUACCAUCUGUUUCUCACACACAUCCAUGAGGGAAGAAUCAUUCCCAUUUAACAGACAAUGUAACUGGGGCUGAAUAUAGCUCAGCGACUUGCCCCAGGCCCACCAGGAAGUGGAUAAAGCCGUGCUCAACCCAGCACUUCUUCAAAGCCUUAUUCUUUGUCUGCCACACUGACCCGCGCUGAUUCCUUCUGGUCAGCCAAGAAUGGCACAGGAGUGGGCUGGUAACAUGUGAGCAUGUGCAGCUGAACUGGAAGGUGGCCAGGAGCUGAAGUAGCAGAGGGCAGAGCUGCAUUUCAAGAGGAGGCAGCAGGGCAUCCCGGCCAGGAAGCCUCACAGGCAGCCAGGUGGGUUGCCAAAAGAGGCUGCUCCCUUGGUGUUCUGGACCAGCUUCUGACCCUUAGGCGUGGAAGUGUCUCAAAUGAGCUCCAGGGGUCCUGUGUGACCAAAGGAGCUUAAUUGCAAAGGCACCAGCUAUUGUGACAGAAUUUUUGAGACGAUAACUUUCAACAAGUUCCUGGACUGAGAGGGCUGGCCGUAAAGUGGGCGUGGUCUAUGGGCUGUCAUAGUUACCGUCUUCUGUGACGUAUCAAAAGGGCAUUGUUGAUGCUCUCAUUUCCACCAUUUGAUACCAUCUGUUUCUCACACACAUCCAUGAGGGAAGAAUCAUUCCCAUUUAACAGACAAUGUAACUGGGCCUGAAUAUAGCUCAGCGACUUGCCCCAGGCCCACCAGGAAGUGGAUAAAGCCAUGCUCAACCCAGCACUUCUUCUCUCUACCUUCCACCGAUCCUGCCUGCUCAUCUUCCCUCCUUGGUGAAGGCAUGUGUGCUGUGCUCUGCUUAACUAAUUUCCCUCAGAUAUUCGCAUUUCUGUCUUUACAAUUUGGCAUCCCAGUGAGGUUUCCCUUUGUAUAUUUUCCGGUUCCUAUAUUCCCAUUAUUCAGGUAUCAUCACUCAAUAACCAUUUGACAGCAGUAAUGCUUUUCACAUGGAAAGAAUUGGGUUUUUAUUGAUGGCAAAUGUUGUGAUGAACUUUCAUGCCCACUUGGAGCCGGAGCACUUUUUUAUAGAAUGAACCACAAUGAGAAGCGUUUCCAAGAAAUGUCUUUGGAGUGUGGACUGAGAUGUACGUUUAGGAACAGGUCCUGUGGCCAGAGUGGGGAGAGAGGGGGCUUCCCAUUGUCAAAAUCUCAUCAAUCAAAAUGUAUAAUAGCAACAUUAUUAAUAACCCUAUAGUUGCAUUGCACUUGGUGCUCUUCCAAGCACUUCCCUAGAAUCCUAAAAUGAAGGCAGGGCAGAUAUUAUAUCCAUGUUACAGGUUAAACAACAUUGUAACAGGACUGAUAACACCAUGAAUGAGAAGUCAUUUGAUCAAUGGGUAAGUGUCUCAUGAGAAAGAGACUUUUAGUAGGCCUGAAAUCUGUCUUUGGGGGUCAUAGAUGCUCUCUGUAGGAGUCCUUCCAAGGCUAAACUCUUAUCAAGAUCCCUUUUGUCCAGUCCAAAUAUAAAAGCAUGGCCACUAUGUCCAGGCAUGGUGCUCCACCUGCAAUGAAAUUAAGCAUCCUGACACCUAAUCCAGAUACAGUGAGGAACCAGGAAUUAUUUCACAACAUAUGCCAUUGGCACAUGUUAUGGCAAACAGAAUGUGAAUGCCGUGUAUCGACUUCCCAGGCUAGGCUGGAAACACUAUGGACAAAAUACACAGGGCAUUCUGCACUGGAUCUAACAAAAGAAUGGCAAAUGCUGUGUGAUGGAGGUGGUGAUGCUAAUGAAUCACAUCUGCAUUACCAAAUAGGCUAGUUUGGGUCCUAGGCCACCCCUGUACUCCUCAGAAGCCAGUCUUGGCACUUGCCUUGGUGAAAAAGAGAAUUAAGCAAUUAGACAGGAACUUGCAAACCAGCUAGGACUACCACCAUCACCAUUUUGUUAAUAUGGAAGAUAAAGCCUCAAGACUGAAGAGACUUGCCCUAGUAGCAGGAUUAGCCAGGGCAGAGUGGCGCUAAGAAUGCAGGCCCCUGGCAGAGAAUGCCACCCAGCCUCCCACAUUGAGUCAAGAGAUUUUCUAACUCAUCAUGACAUCUCUUCUUCAUCCUUAACCCGGAAUUACCCUUAUUGGUGGUCUGCAGCUGGUAAUUAGGGACUCAGCAGUCUGAGUUAAGAAGAGGAUGCCUUUCCUACAUAUUUGGCUUCUCCAUGCUCCUCCCAUCCUCACUACUAUUGCAUAGUGCAGCAGGUGUCCAUGCCCUUCAUUGUGAGGAAGCACCUGCCCUUACGGAAAGCUCCCUGAACAGCAGGUUGUGCAAGGAGCACUGUGAGGCUGGUAUGAACCCACAGGAUGUUGUAACUCAAUAGGGGAAUGCAUGAUCCACAUGCACCUGGCACACCCCAGCUGGCUCACCAUGGCCUGUGUCCUGAUAGCUCAGUCUCAGGCUCAUACAUGUUCCAAACACACCAGAUUACCCAGGAGUGUGCCUAGAGGAAAGGUGCUUUUUUUUUCUAAGCCACCUGCUUCCAUUACCCAUGGUUGUCCUUCCCCAGGUCCAUAGCCUCAUGACUUCUGUCAGUAAUUGGUUCAGAAUGUAAUACUCGGACUCUCUGGAGCUCAGAUCUUUUGUCAUUUCAAACCUAACCCUCCCUGGCUCAUGUUUCAAGGGAUGUUUUUCCUGUCCUGCUUGGUUUUCCUGUCUGCUUUUUGCAUUUUGGCUGGCUUAUGAAAUGUCCUAUUUCAUUCUAAACCAACACGCUGCUCCUAUAUCAAUUCAAUUUCAGUCAAAGAAUAUUGAAUAGAGGGCACACCUAGACCGUCAUUAGCUUCUAUCCAUCCUAAGGUUGUAGAAAAUUCCAUCCAAUGGAUCUACAGCUAACUGCCCAUGCUGCAUGCAAGCUUCUUAAUUUAUAUUUUGCUUGGCAAACAAAAUAACUCAGGGGACUUUCCUCUUCCUCCAUACUUCCCCUCAGAACUCAACCAUCUCAUGCUCCUACUACCAUGGUUGACGAGGAAGCUGAGCCACCAGACAGAGCAGUGGUGACCUACAGAGCCGUGCUUUCAUGACCAUAUGGCCUCUCAGCCGCGGGACUUGCCACACUGUCCCAUACAAUCCUCUGUCAUUUUAGUAUCUGUCACUGCCAGGUCUUCUUCACACCAGCUUGUGAGAAAAAAUGGUGCAUCACUUCUCAAUCCUGGUUUUAGUGACAUCAUAUUGAUAGCUUGAACUUUGCCAUAUUUACAUCACAGAAAUCAGUAAACACCAUUAAAAAGGCUUUUGUUUUCUUCCUUUUUUUUUUCUCAGAGAGCCAGUUAUUAAACAUUUACCAACAUGUGCAAGAACGGGUUUCAAGGCCGAGGUGGGCAGAUCACAAGGUCAGGACUUUGAGACCAGCCUGGCCAAUAUGGUGAAACCCCAUUUCUACUAAAAAUACAAAAAAAUUAGCCAGGCGUGGUGAUGCAUGCCUGUAAUCCCAGCUACUCGGUAGGCUGAGGCAGGAGAAUUGCUUGAACCCGGGAGGCGGAGGUUUGCAGUGAGCCAAGAUCGCGCCACUGCACUCCAGCCUGGCAACAGAGCAAGACUCCGUCUCAAACAAAACACAGCACAACAAAACAAAAAAGAACGAGUUUCAUAGUGAGAAACAGCGGAGAAACCAGCUUACCUGGUGGGCCUUGAGUGGCCCCUACAAACUCCAACCUGUUCAAGACUCAUUUGCCACGUUGUACCUUCCAGCCAAGGCAAUCCCCCCAGCCUGAGCUACUUCCCAGACCAGACCACAGAAGCAAGGCCAUGCUCACCGAGGACCCCACUUGUGGACUAGACUUCUGUCCUGCUGUGGCCUCAAAAGCAAUAGCCAGGGCCCCAUGAUGAAGCUGCCAUCAGAAGCACAGGUGUGCCUGGCAAGGACACAGGAGGACCACGGCUCCAUGCCGAUGAGAAUGGCAGCUAAGUCUGAAGCUUUCUAUGAUUUAGAUUCCUGGUUGCGAGAGGGAGCCUAUAGGAAUGGCGAGAAGAGUGAGAACUUUGCAGAGGCAGCAAGGAUUUUCUCUUUGGGUCACCGCGUGUUCUUUGGGGUCAUAUAAAGUACUCUGCUCAAGAACAAAGGCCAGUGUGGCUAUGAUGAAAAUGCAUUGACAGAGGGGCUUCAAUGUCUAUGGAACAGAAACAAGAGCCCUGGACCAAGAGGAGGAAAUGUGGAUUCACCAACAUGUUGAAAAUCAUUCUAACAUCUCCAGGCCUCAGCGUGGUCAUUCACAAAUGGAAUUCAACAAUUUCUAAGGUCCCUGUAACUAGCUUUGACAAAGAGAACACAGUGGAAGUGAUCCUGCCCACCCCUUUUCCAAGGUAGACCUUAAAAGACCUGUAGCUUCCACUAUUGUGCCUCCUAGAAGCCUGUACCAUGUAAGAAUUCUAACUACCAUGGGAACAUCAUGCUGUGAGGAAGCCCAAGCUAGCCAUUUGGGAGAGAGGAAGGCCACGUAGAGAAGCACCAAGAAACUAGACAUGUUUGUGAAGCCUACUUGAACUUUCCAGCCCAACUCCAGCUGAAUGCAUCCAAGUGAAUGGCCCCAGCUGAUCCCCUGUGGAGCAGAACCACCCUGCUGACUCCUGACUGAAUCCCUGAUCCACAGAAUUUGGCUAUGGGCUCAGAUCCUCUCUUACUUCAAGGGAUCUGGGCUGGAUGCUUGGGCGCGAGAGAGAAGAAUGGCUCUCAACUGGGCGGGGAAGAGUAGCCCGCAAGGAGGCAGCGGCUCCAGGAUGGGAAGUGAGGAUGCCAAAAAAGCAUCCCUAGGAAGGUUCCUGCCUUUCCACGAGGCUAUGGGGCUUUGAAGGCCUUGGAAGCAAAGCCCCCAGGAAUGACUGGAAGACAACACUCUGCAGACCCCUUCCACAGGGUACCCCUGCUCUCCAGGAAGGGCCUUCAGGGCAGCAUUUGGAGGUGGCAUGAGCUAGCAGCGGCGUGCAGCCUGGUCACUGUCUGAUCUGGUCAGCCCAGCCGCACAGAACACCACACAGGCUCUGGCAGCUCCCUGGGAAAGAAGAAAGCAGCAUCUUGCAUGUGUGGCUUAUUCUGAAAGGAAUAGUAUCUGAGGGAUUUGAUGGACUCUGACAGGGGGAAGAAGGUAGUGAAAAAGAUGGAACAAAGAUGCCAUUUAAAAAUACUGGCUCGUGUUCAGGAUUUCGCUAUUUUUUACUGCAAGGAACAAGUAAAAAAAAAAAUCCUCCUAUUGAUGAGUAUUUUUCUACAGUCAUUAAAAGUCAAAGGACUCAGGGCUUCCGACUUUCCCUCUUGGGAAACCUGUAAGCUCGUCUUCUGGACAGCUUAGAAAAGGGCUGGAUGGCGAAGGCGAGAGGCUUAAAGGCCCCCAGCAAGCAGCUCCGCCGAGGAACGGGUGCAGGGGACACACUGUGUUUUCAGUUCAGAUUCUGUGAUCUUUCUGCCAAACAGGGGUUUACAAAGCAAAAACCUCCAGAGAAUUCUCAUACUUUCUGGCUUAUUCUCCUGGUGUUCGUCUUAACAGGAAUCAGCUGUUUGCCUUCUCACUUAUACAGCAUGUUGCUGAGGCGAAUUUAGCAUCUGGCCUGGCUAUUAUUAAAAACAAGAACAUCCUGCUCUGUUGGGAGAACAGCACCACUGGCAAUAAAAGGACAGAGAUCAUUUGCAUUCAGGAUUCCAGAGAUGUGUUUCAGUUCAAUAUCUGCGCUCCCUCCUUCCACCCCUGCUUUCAUUUUAAGAUUUCCUGAUGCAUCCAUCACUUGCAGCGUGGUCAACUUUUUUUCUGAAACAGGCACACACAGGCAGAGCAUAUUUUUUCCUUUCACUGGGAGGCAGGAAUGACUGGAGUUGUUCAAACACCGGUCCGUUCCUGCAAUUCCUAUGAUAAAGUUGAACUACCAGAGGAAUUUUUUUUUUUUUUUUUACAACUGCGGAAAUGAAAAAGUAAACAAGACUGGGACUGCAUUGGUAUUUAGGCUCCAGCUUUUUGUUGUUGUUUUUGUCUUUCCCUUUUUUUAAGCCAUUGGGCUAGGAGCCUGAAGGGACCAUAUAAUAUGAAAAACGCUGAGAGGUUUUAUUAGCCAAUAAAAAAAAAAACUGAGUUCCUAUUAACCACUUAACUCCUUGCUGAAGUUCAAACUUGCUUUCUCCUUGGAUCCUUCUCUCCCUCUCAUGCCCACGAGGAAUGACGGUUGGUUCACCAAUCUUUCCCUGCACAACCUGAGCUCACAGUUUGUGCUCCAGAAGGUGUGGUUGAGAAUCGUAUUCAAUAAUAAUCUCUGUAUUUCUCAUCUGUGAAGCCAUAAAUAAGAUUUCUGUAAGGAGCCAAAUGUUCUACGCCCCCAAAUCUACACACACAAAGACUCUUUAAGCACUCUACUAAAAAAGAGUAAAGUCAUUGUGAUUUCUAGGAUUUUAAAUACUAAAUGAUGGUUAGGGAGAACAAAAUCAGGCUGAAGCAUUUCUGGGAUAAAUAAUGAUCCCACAAAACGCUCCUCUCAUUUGGGGGCAGAAGAAUGAAGGGAAACUCACAGAGAAACAGAAAAUGAAAUUGGUCCAACUAUUUCACUGCUGGAGAUAGAUGGAGUUAGGAUACAUAGGUGACUUGGUUUAGGAAAGAGAGGAUGUCGAAGGUGAUUUAAAUCCUAACACUGUUUUAUUAAUCGUGCCACAAUUCUACAUGUCAUGUGAUUUUGUUAUCUGCUUUUUGCUGCUUUUAAAUAAAUUUGUACUUUUCUAUCAAUCCAUCAUCCAAUUGUGUUUCGGGUGUUCUUGGCAUUCCCAUCUCUCAAAAACACCCUUAGUUUCUGCCAUUAUAUACUGUAUCUCUAAUUCCACGAAGCUCACUCUAUCCUAUUUCCAUUUUCCACAUUCG
rnacentral:lncRNA from 10 species